rnacentral:rRNA from 1 species
UUGAAAGGGAAACGAUUGAAGUCAGUCGUGCUGGGAAAUCAACCUUCUCUCUUGAGAUCACAUGGCGUGGCGGGNCUCAAAACCNUCACGAAGCGGGAACUCUUGGUGAAAUGGAGCACUUUCGUGGCCGCUGGUUAACAUCAAUUUCGAACGUCAUAAAAAGGCUGGAGGGAUGUGGCUCCUUCNGGANGGUUAUAACCUUUANCGGAAUGUGGUGUUCGNGAUUGGNNAUUGCAACGAAUACCUUUAGGGCUGGUCCACCUGGCUUCUCUUUGGUAUCCUGGUGACGACAGCUUNCUGACNUCNNUAGGAUUCGCCUUUGAACAGGCCUAAGAGUGGNANCAAAUUCGUUAAGGAUGUUGACGUA